UACGGGGGGAGCAAGCGUUGUUCGGAUUUACUGGGCGUAAAGCGCACGCAGGCGGUGGCGCGCGUGGGGUGUGAAAUCUGGCCGCUUAACGGCCAGGCGCCAUCCCAUACGGCGCGACUGGAGGGCUGCAGAGGUCGAUGGAAUUCCUGGUGUAGCGGUGAAAUGCGCAGAUAUCAGGAGGAACACCGGCUGGCGGAAGGCGGGUCUCUGGGCCGUAACUGGACGCUGAGGAGCGAAAGCAUGGGGAGCGAACAGG
rnacentral:rRNA from 1 species